ACCGAGUUGCAUGCUUUAGACCCGAAACCUGAUGAUCUAGCCAUGGGCAGGUUGAAGGUGCGGUAACACGCACUGGAGGACCGAACUCACGCCUGUUGAAAAAGUCGGAGAUGACCUGUGGCUAGGGGUGAAAGGCCAAUCAAAUCAGGAAAUAGCUGGUUCUCCGCGAAAGCUAUUUAGGUAGCGCGUCGCGUAUUGCCGCGGGGGGGUAGAGCACUGGAUGGGCUAGGGGGGCGCGAGCCUUACCAAACCUAACCAAAGCUCCGAAUACCCGUGAGUACAGUCCGGCAGACAGACAGUGGGUGCUAAGGUCGAUCGUCAAGAGGGAAAGAGCCCAGACCGCCAGCUAAGGUCCCCAAGUCAUGGCUAAGUGGGAAAGGAUGUGGGAAGGCCAUGACAACCAGGAGGUUGGCUUAGAAGCAGCCAUCCUUUAAAGAAAGCGUAAUAGCUCACUGGUCUAGAUAAGCCGGCCUGCGCCGAAAAUGUAACGGGGCUUAAGCCACCCACCGAAGCUGCGGGUUCAAUCGCAAGAUUGAGCGGUAGCGGAGCGUUCCGUAAGCCGUCGAAGGUGUGUCGCGAGGCAUGCUGGAGGUAUCGGAAGUGCGAAUGCUGACAUGAGUAGCGACAAAGAGUGUGAGAAACACUGUCGCCGAAAGUCCAAGGGUUCCUGCGCAAGGUUAAUCCACGCAGGGUGAGCCGGCUCCUAAGGCGAGGCCGAAAGGCGUAGUCGAUGGGAACCACGUUAAUAGUCGUGGGCCUGGCGGAAGUGACGGAUCGGAAAGCGUGUACGGUCUUAUCGGAUUGAUCGUGCUGUGGACCGGUUCCAGGAAAUAGCCCCGCCUUAUAGACCGUACCCCAAACCGACACAGGUAGACUGGUAGAGUAUACCCAGGCGCUUGAGAGAAUGGUGUUGAAGGAACUCGGCAAAUUACCUCGUAACUUCGGAAGAAGAAAGCCCCGUUCUGGGCAACCAUGGCGGGGGGCACAGACCAGGGGGUAGCGACUGUUUACUAAAAACACAGGGCUCUGCGAAGCCACACAAGGCGACGUAUAGGGUCUGACGCCUGCCCGGUGCCGGAAGGUUAAGAGGAGGAGUGCAAGCUCUGAAUUGAAGCCCCGGUAAACGGCGGCCGUAACUAUAACGGUCCUAAGGUAGCGAAAUUCCUUGUCGGGUAAGUUCCGACCUGCACGAAUGGCGUAACGACUUCCCCGCUGUCUCCAACACCAACUCAGCGAAAUUGAACUCUCCGUGAAGAUGCGGAGUUCCCGCGGUCAGACGGAAAGACCCCGUGCACCUUUACUACAGCUUUGCAGUGGUGCUAGGGACUUCAUGUGUAGGAUAGGUGGGAGGCUUGGAAGCAUGGGCGCCAGCCCGUGUGGAGCCAACCUUGAAAUACCACCCUUGAAGUCUCUGGCAUCUAACCGUGGCCCGUUAUCCGGGU
rnacentral:ncRNA from 1 species